rnacentral:lncRNA from 1 species
AUGCUUUAAGUCUUGGUAAAGCCAGAAACAGUUAACAGUCAGACUGCAUCUCAGCCCUGUCAAGAUGGAACUCCAUAAUAGGUGAUGAAUAUUUGGGGGAUAUAUUAACUUUUACUAUUAGGGGAAAGUUUUAGAUUGGUUUGCCAGCUUGUGCCCCAUCAAGUUGAGGCCAAUAGAUAUACAUUCACAGCCCUGUACCCAUCAAAUAAUCAACUAUAUGUGUGACUUUGGGACUGAUUCAUACAACCACAUUUCCUUUAUCCACUCUAUAGCAGCUUUUUCUCUGUAUUUGAAAAAAUAACGAAGGAAAAGAUAAGGAACCAGAAAUAAUAUUUGGAGGAGUAUGGUGAGGAUCUAAGCUUUACAAGUGAGGGGGCUAGGAAGAUAGAUUUGUGGUCCAGCAUAGGAAUGAUGGGUGCUUCAUAUUAUUGAAUUCCUGUUCCACAAAAAAGAAGUCUUCGAGCUCUUUGCUCUCCUACUUUUAUGGCUCGCCGGGUUCUGGGAGAUGGAGGGUCUGGAAUGCUUUCUAAUCUUCCUCUCCCAUUAUUCCCCAAUUUCCCCUCUCAUCUGCCUCUGAGCUGUGACCUCCCGCAACCCCCUGUUGUAAAUCUAUAUUGUCUUCUUCUCCCUUCUCCCUGGAAGGGUCAGGAUGGGGAGGAGGUCUCCACCAUUCCUCCUUCUCUGCCCAGCCCCUGACAGUAGGUGACUUUAAGAACGCUAUUAUCUCUCUCACACACUCAAAUCUACAUUAUUGGGAUUAAAAAAAUACUAAAAGGAUUUGCUUUGAACACUCUCAAGUUAUUCUCAUUCUAAAUAGUAGAAUAUUUCAAAUAUAACAAUGCUAACAACUGGGAAAGAAUGUUUGAGUUCAGGUGUGCCAACUUGAAUAAAAUAUUGAGGGGGCUAGGUAAGCCCUGCCCCACAUACUGUAUUUUUUGCUCUAUAAGACUCACUUUUUCCCUCCUAAAAAGUAAGGGGAAAUGUAUGUGCAUCUUAUGGAGCGAUGGCAGGCUGCGCAGCUAUCUCAGAAGCCAGAAUAUUAUUUUUCUUGUUUUCCUCCUCCAAAAACUAGGUGCGUCUUAUGGUCUUGUGCGUCUUAUAGAGUGAAAAAUGCGAUGAUUGAUCACAUGAUGCUGUGUACACACACCAUUUGAAUGGCAAAGUUGAACAACUUAGGGGACUCUCUCCCCCCCCCAAAAAAUGUAUUGGGGAGUCUGAAGACCCCCUCGGCCUCUGGGAGUUGGCUCCUAUGUUUGAGUUGGUAACUGUUAGGUUUAGGUGGAUUCCUUCAGAAAGAUUAAGGAUCUUGACUGCAUAUUUCUAUUUCAUAUAUAUGUAUAUUUCUCUGUGUACUAGUUAAUAAAUCAGAAUAAUGUAUUAACAUUGGUCUCAGCGGCUGCUCCCAGUCACCAGUCUGGCUGCCGCAUUCUGGAUUAGUUGUAGUUUCUGGGUCACCUUCAAAGGUAGCCCCACAUAGAGCGCAUUGCAGUAGUCCAAGUGGGAGAUAACCAGAGCAUGCACCACUCUGGUGAGACAGUUGGUGGGAAGGUAGGGUCUCAGCCUAUGUACCAGAUGGAGCUGGUAGACAGCUACCCUGGAUACAGAAUUGACCUGCGCCUCCAUGGACAGCAGUUUUACCUGUUCUGUUUCUUACAGCAUAAAGUCUCUGAGUCCUUAGUUCCUUUAUUUCUUGACAUGGGCUUCCACCUUCCUCGCAUCCUCUCUUGAAAACGCUCAAGCAUUCUGGACAAUGACUCCCAUAUGGUGGCAUUUUAGGAGCCCCUAGGAUACCAAAAUAGAAGCACCACUCUGGACAGAAUGGGACUUGAGUCAGACAGAAUCUAUAAGAUCACCCACGCUUUUGGCUUUUGUAUGAUCUUUAUCAGAAGCCAUCAACUUGAAGAGCAGCAUGUGUGUUUGAAGUAAGAAGUGCGCAAUAAUUUCAUCUGCAGGCCAAAGCACGGAGUGUUCUUAGGAAGACAUUUGAAAAUGUAAAUGUCAGGAGAUGAAUAAUUAGAUGGAACAUACUGAAGGCUUUUCCUGUGGAUUAAUGCUAUAGUAUUGCGGCUGAUCUUGUUUCAAAAUAUAGCCAGUAUUGUAAGUCCAUCAAGCUGUAAUUAAACAAUGAACUAGAGAAUACCAGUGUAUUAUUUAACUAUUGUUCACUCUGCUCCAUUAAAAAAGUCACUUG